ACCUGCAGACUGCUGGUUCUCCAUGGCAUACAGUAUGGUUGGCCACCCCCGGCACCGGGUGAUUAUGCCUAUCAACAGUGACUGGCAGUAAUUAGGGAAUAAAAAUAUCUGGUAAUAAAGGAAAGAAGAUGGCCAAGCCAGUGUAAACGAGGCUUUGCAAAUGUUUUAUGAGCUUGGACAGGUAUUUUAUAUGUUUUUUUAAAGCCUUGAGGACACACACAGUGUAAUUUGGUGUGAAGCAUUAAAAGUAAAAAAAAACAAAGUUAAAACUCCACCAGGUACCUUUAAGUAGGUGUUUAAGAUAUGACAAGGACGAGAAAUUAUUAAAUUUAAAAGGCAGGUUUUAAUAAGGGCACAGAACCAUGGAUUACUGCAGCCCAGGGACAUGUCUUUGUCAAGUCAAGACUUUUCCGGCGGCACCAGUACCAGAGUUUCCUGACGGGGUACAAACCCAGAACCGUUUACAGUUGUGAAAAUAAAAAGGUGGCAGGAUUUUUGAAGGGCCAAAAACCUGGAUAUCAAACCGGAACUUGUCAAAAGGGAGAAGUUGUGCAUGUCCAUGUUGGCUCCUCCUGACACAGAUUCCACCUUGUAGCUCUGCGUCUUCCUGUUCUGAUCUUUCUGGAUCAGUUUGUUGUGCAGCGGGGACCUGGUGUCCAUCGAUGCCCGACUGUGUCCGCCCUUCACAGUUGCCACGCCGGGCAACACCGUCAUCGCCUGGGUCACGUUGGCACAACCCUCCUCUACCUGAUUUCCACCAUUCUCUGUAUGGGUAAAUAUAUCGUGCGAUGCAGAAGUGACGGCAUGCGGUGAAGGUCAACCCAGCGGGACAUGACACAAAGUUCACCUUCUCCCGCACAUCCAUUGGGAUCCUCCAGAUUUCAAGAUUCAAGAGUCGGAGCAAAGUAUGUUGUUAUUUGCCUCGGGACAGUUUGAGCAUAAUAAAAAGAUAAAGUGAAAUCAGAUAACUGCUGGCACAAACCUACAUGUCUCAUUUCGCAAAACCAUAUGUUCAACCCGUCUCUGUUGCAGUCUCACCGAACUGCAAUAAAAGAUGCUAUUUGUCUUACUUGA